rnacentral:rRNA from 1 species
UACGAGGGGGGCAAAUGUUGUUCGGAAUCACUGGGCGUAAAGGGAGCGUAGGCGGGUUCUUAAGUAAGGUGUUUAAUCCCGGGGCCCAACCCCGGACCGGCACUUUAAACUGGGAAUCUUGAAUAGUAGAGAGGUCGGUGGAAUUGGGGGUGUAGCGGUGGAAUGCGUAGAGAUCCCCAAGAACACCAGUUGCGAAGGCGGCCGACUGGACACAUAUUGACGCUGAGGCUCGAAAGCAUGGGGAGCAAACAGG